UUUUUCCCCCUCCCCUCAUUCUGGUCUUCACUGAUCAGGGACAGCCAGUUCAAGUGUGCAAGUAAAAUGCAAGCUGAAAGGCAGGGAGACGAGGCAGUUCUGAAACUAGGUUAGAGAUUAAAUGAGCCUGAUAUUUGGCAGCUGUAGGCAAGGUUGGAUUGCCCUAGGGAAAGGGCUCAAAAUGAUUAAUGAAAUGAUGUUAUUAGCCUAUCAUGGGAUUGCAAUUCUGUUUGAAUCCCGAAGACAGAAAUUGAGAGGAGCUGUGUGGGUGUGAAUGAUGUACUGUAGAAGAAAGCUCAAGAACAGUUUCCCAGAAGGCAAGUAGAUCCCUUAAGGCAACCUCAUGUUUGUUUUAUUGCACCAUGUAGUCUAAAAUAUGCCCUUCACUACCACUGGAUUGAUUCAUCAGCUGGUAUUGGGAUUUACCAUCUGCAAAGCUGUCCUUUCUCAGUUUAGGAGGCUCAGGAAACAAAGAAGGGAAUCAUAGAGACUGUUCUGAGGUUUUCACGAAUGAGAUGAGUGCACUGGCAUCAACACUGGCUCCGUGGUAUUCUCCAGUCCCUUCAGAUGGACGGAGUGUGGCAGUAUUAUCUUAUCAUGACGCUUACCACGCUGCAGGAUCCACCCUUAGCUGAGCCCCCUUCAGAGUGAAGUGAGAAUGGCUGUUCUCAAAAGGAUGUUCGUACCCAUGGUGUCUGUGGAAGCAUAUACUUGGAACGGACACUCCUCUGCCUGUUCUUGCUGUUGACAAGCCCUUUGGACUUGCCUGUGGACAGAACAGUUUAUAUGGACAGUAUUAUACCAUGCAGGGAAAGGGAAGUGCCCUCUGGUCUUGCCUUCACCUGGGUUGCUGUAGUGGUGAACACCAGGGGUGACACCAUCCACUACAUCAGGUAAUGGAAGUGCAGGAGCUGCUCUUGGCACUCCAGCAUGGGGAGGUCAUCUUUGUUAUGCCUUCAGGGUAAUAAGUGGGGGAAAAGGCUACGUCUGUGUGAGUGACAUAUGGAGGAGGGAGAGAGGGAAAAGGAAUCCCUUGUUUACCUUCCUUUCUGCUGGGAGGACAAAGAGGCACAAAGCCACCCUGCAAGCUGGCAGAUACCCACGAUCAAAAGCAGUUCUGCAUUUUAUAACCAGCUCGUGAGAUUUAGUGCUGUAAGAAGUCUCUGACGAGCCAUGGCUUCAGGAUUCCCAAGGGGAUUAUGUGCACAAAUGACAAGAAUAUCCCUUGGAAUAAAUAUUAAAACGAACUGGAGCUUUGAAAAGGAUAUAAGCCCUUGUGUCUGGGGCUCUGCCACUUUUAACUACUCGUGCUUAAGCAGACUGAUGGGGAUUCUCCACCUUCUCCAGCUAUGGGAGCCCGGAUGGCAGUGUCCUGAGGCACCACAGCCAGAGCUGGCCCCCACCCUAAACAGCCAUUUCCAGCCUGAAAGGAUGGGGGCCUGCAGGUCAGGGUCUGUGGUCAGUAGGAAAUUGAGGAUGCCUUUCCCUAUAACAACUCCUUCAAUGACAGUCCGUGAGGUCUGUGCCCCUGUUGACUUAAUUUACAACAGGUGGGCACCCAGCUCUUGGGAGCUGCUGGGUUGCAGCAAUCUUGGUAGGGAGCACAGAAAGCCAAGAAAAAGAUUUUGCUCAAGGCGCAGGUCACAGGCACUUACAUGCUAGUUAUCUGCAGGGCAUGUCACAAAUAGAGGCUGCCUCCUGGGGAAGGACUGGACCGGAUUCUCCCAGGACAGGGAGGAGGAGGAAUUCCUGACAGCGUUGCAGCACUCGUGCAGCAGAGCUUUGGAGCUCUUUGCUGAAAAUCCACUGUCCGAGAAGCCCUGCACAGGAACACGAAUGGUCUUUGUCCAGGAGGUGCAAAGGCUGGCUUUUAAAAAGCACCUUGAUAGUGUCUGUCUCUGCUGCUCUGGGUCUGUCUUCAUGCCAUUCCCCAUUCUAAGCUACUUUGAUUUUUAUUUUUUUUUAAAGCUUUAAGUGGGUCUAUAUAUAGAACAGGCUGCAUCCUGCCUGAAGACUCUCUGACAGUGAAUAAGGAGCUUAAUAGGGCUCCCUGAUACGUCUCAGGAUUUUUCCAUUUCUAAUUCUCUGCAGUUUGAAGCUUGGAUAAGAGCUUUCUUUCCCCAGGUGAUGACCACCUCUUGGUGCUGGGUAAAUUGAAUUUGAAUUGGACAGGGCCUUUGCAGAGAUAGACUUGCUGCAAAAAUACCAGCCCAGAAAGAUGCACGGUGAUGAGAGAGUUUAGCCCUCCAUUCUCCUCAAGUCUUUGCCAGGCAGAGGCCACCCUAUAUCAAGGUGGUGGAGGUGGCUCUGUGCCAUGACAGUGGCACACUCUGCUUGCCCUGUGUGGACACCUGCUUCCAUCCCCGUGCCACAGCCAGUGAAAGCAGAGUCAAAAUUUCUGGUUCUUAGCAGCUCCCAGAUGAGCCAGCUAUGAGCUGAAUCUUUGCAGAACACUUUUCUGUGGCCUAUUAGCUGUUUGCUGUGCAAAGCGCUGACUUGAAUUGUUGUUGAUUUAGGGUAAAUGGCAAGCAUUCUUGCAAAUGAGGUGAAGACAAAAUUCAUGCUUUAAGAAGCAUUGUUGUAGCUUUCCUGUCUUGUAACGUUUAUCUGCUCAAGCACUUCCAGCAUUAUAGUUGUUGUUGUUGUUGCUUUUUCAGCACAUGUUAAAUGCUGCAAAAUAUAUCUGCUCUCUGUUGUAUGGUUCCCUGUGCAUCUGGGAUAGGGAAUUGCCCUUGUGUGUAGAAUUUACUGCCUCUAUUUUUUGAACACUUCAGUUUUAACAUUACACAGAUUAUUGCAUUUCAGUAGGUGGGAUAACUAUUAAUUAAAAUAUUUGGUCUGGAAGACUUGGAAAAGGACUGGAAAAUCAAUUGUGUUCUUCUAAGGAGCUUUCUUGGUGAAAUUAUUUUUGAUUGUCUCCAAAUUUUGGUGGCUUGCUGUGAUUACUAAGCUUCUGCUUCUUCUACAUUGCUAUAUCUCAAAACAAUUGUUCCAUAAAAUACCACAGCAGUGGGGCUGGGGAACAGUAAUUUUUCAGUUGGAAACUUCAACAUGCGUUACAUAUAAAAUGAAAUAGUGAGUUUUGAAGAUGCCAUGAUGGAAAAAUGAGUAUACAGCCAAAAACCAUCUUGGGAGGGGGAAAGGUGCAGUUUUCAGCUGCUGAUGCAGGGAUGUGCUUUACUUACUGUGCAAAGCCUGUCACAGAAGAACUUGCCUUAUCUUUGUGCCCUCUCUUUAUUUGUGGCAGAAGGCAUCAAAGUAGCUAUGUAUUUACUUGUCAGAAAUUGAGAAGUCUGAGGAUACCCUGUAAGGCUUAGGGAUCUGCCUGUAUGCUUUGUAAAGGACUCCCAGCACAGACAGGGUAAGAGGGACAGUAAUUCAGGGUUCAUUUUCUUUGCUAGCUUUUUAGUAUGAGAUCCAAGGAAAUAAAAAGUAAAAGGAGGAAAAAUAGAAAAAGGAAAAGGAAAAGAAAAACUAUGCCUGCCUCUGAACUGCCACUCCUUCUUGUUUUAGGGAAUUGCCAUCCCCAAAGAUAGUUGAGUGUCUACUGCCACUGCCUUUCAGCAGGAAUCCUGAGUCAGUACAGUAAGUGGGGUGCCAGUCAACCCCCCAGCAAAGAACCAGAGGGGGUUAUGACUGCGAAGCCUGCAAUCUCACAUCCUUAUCUCUGUGCCACAGCACACACUGGGCUUGGCAAAGGCUCUCCCUUUCCCAAUGGGGCCCUUUCCAUGCUUGCCUCUUAAGCAAGGACGUGCCAUGCCAAUGCCCCAGCUAUUUGAGGAUGGAUAGCUUUGUACUGCUGAGAGCUCUAAUGGAAAUGAACUUGUCUGUCUGACAAGGGUUCUCUGUCAUUUUUGGUAUCACUGGGGAUAUUCUACAAUUGCAUUACAUGGUGAAUAUCACUAUGAUGGGUUAAUUCAUGCAAUUAGAGCAAGCACCUCAAACUCUUCAAUAGAAUCCUUCCUGCCAGGUGUUGUGUCUAGGGCAUGUUGGAUGUGCUGCUCAGUUUCAUGAUCCACAAUCCUCAUUUUCUGUCUGGUAGAUGAGCAUUAGAAAAUGCCCUAAAACAGUUUAAUUAACCGCCCGUCUGGCAGGGCAACAUCUGCGAAAACACAAACCGGAGGCAAGACAAGAGUGGGGUUUUCUCUCUGUCAUCCACCUGGAGCCAACCUGUGGCUUGAGAAUGUCUGUUUUCCAUCCCCUCCUGGUGUGCUUAAAAAGAGUAAAAAUAAUAAUAAUUUUUAAAAACUUCUUACACAUUUUGUUAGUAAACAGAGUUCCAGAAUUAGAGACCAUGCCAAGUGUAUAUUUAAUCUUUUUCACCUGGCUUAACUGAUGUUGACAAUCACAUUGCAGACCUUAUUGUUGCGUAGUCUGAGAACCAGAUGAUAGCAAGCAACAAUGCUGAAGCCAAUUCCUUUUGCUUUGUAGCAUAUUUGUGGUAAUUAUACAUAUAAUUAUCUGUAAUUAUACAUAUAAUCGUCACUUUUAAAAUGCACUGUUGUCUGUAAAUACGGAAGCUCAGUAUUUGUAACAGCACUGUAGGUCAUGUCCACAGAUAGCCACACCCCUGUCUCUUCUCCAAAUGAAUGAACACAAUUAAGAAGCUGAACACCACGUGGCUUUGUAGGAAAAUACUUGCUAAGCUUUCUGUGAGUAGACGUCUUCAGCAAUGUUAUUGAAAUAGAAUUAAAAACAAUCUGGAGUGGAAGAGAUAAGAGCACUUUAAACAAGCUUGUAAAUGAAAGAAACAAUCCAGCUCGUAGACAACCUGCAUAAUACAAAUUGGGUAGUCAAGGGCACGUGCAGUAAAUUUCCUUCUGCAAGUCAAUAAAGUAAUAGACCUCCUUCAUGUCAUUUCCCUUUUGUGCAAAGAGUGAACAUGUAGUCUUUCUGGAGAUGAACAAUGAAGCACUGAAUAUGUAGCUGCAUGAACAAUGCAUUGAGAGAGAACCCAAGUAAAAAGAAUAGAAAUAUAUCUGUGCUGUGUUUUUCACUCUCUUUUUCUUGACUCUGUAGUGAAUAUUUUCAGGCCAGGAGGCUAUUUAGGUUGCAGUUUUGAAGAGGGUGAGGAAUCAAAUAUGCACCCCUGAACAACGUAAGGUGCAGAGCUCCUGUAACCAAGUAAUAUUUGCAGCAAACCAUGACAUGAUUACAGGAGUGGGUGAGAGCGGCUGAUGAGUUUAGAGGCUGUGAGUGAUUUAAAGUAGACUCCUAGUAUCUGCUGUUCUUGGGAGCUGGGAAAAUAAAUAACCUUUGCUUAUGACAAACUCCCUCCUAGAAUGAUGUGGACAUUAUGGUGGUGCAUGCUGGAAGUGGCUAAAUGUGCGAUAAGGUAUUUUAGGAUGAAUAAUGUCUUGUGUCGUUUUCUGAACUGAGGAAUCUUUGGAGUUUACAUUUUUACAACAAGCUAUGCUCUCCAUGCACCUCCUGCAUAGUCUAUGAGAACUGAACCAGUUGUGAUAAGUCCAGCACAUGGGGCCGAGUAUGAUUUUAAGCUUCCUUUUGUCAUUCCUGAUGCUUUUUCCUGGUGCAUGUCUGCAAUUACUACUUUAGAGCUGUGGAAACCUUGUGGCCCAGCUAACU